AUGGUGAAAGAUUUGAAGGGUUUCUCUGUUGUUGAUUUUCAGAAAAAGGUUGACAUUUUCUACAAAGGACCUCUGUUAUCGUACAUUGGAUGUAUUAAUAGUGGUCAUCCUUGGUCUCAGAAACAGUGUUGUCAGCACCUCAAUGCUCUUCGUACACUUUAUCAGUCUUCUUCGGAAAAAGCAGAAGCAGCUCUUCCCUUCACCGGCGGCAGAAGUGCCGGCGUCACCACGCAGCGCAGCACAGCGCAGCGCAGCGCGCGCUACGGCACCCGCGUUCGGCACGCAGAUAUUGCAUACAAAUUUGGGAAAACUGUGGUGAUCUGUGAAGGCUAUGAGUCCUCUGAAGACCAGUAUGUACCAAGAGGCUCCUGUGGUUUGGGGUAUGAUUUAGAUUAUACGGAACUCGGCCUGCAGACACUGACGGAGUCUGGAAAGCAGCACGGCUGUGCCCCUUUCUCUGAUUAUUAUUACAAGUGGUACUCGACGGAUUCCUGUAGCAUGGGUGGAUUCAUCACCAUCGUGAUGCUCCUCAGGAUCAUCUUUGUAGUCUAUAAGCUGUUCCGAGUGAUAAGCAGUAUUCUCCUCCACCGUAUUCUGAGUAUCCUCCAUUUUCCCACCGUUAACAGAGAUUCACCAACUCAGCAGGUCCUCCUCUCCGAGGCUUUAAGUCUGAGUUCAUAGGACCACAGAAUACUGGCCCUGGUGCAACUUCAGGACCAGGAUUCUGGACUGGCUUGGGAACUGGUGGAAUGUUAGGAUAUUUAUUUGGCACCAAUAGAGUGGCAACACCCUUCUCGGACUCCUGGUACCCGUCCUAUCCUCCCUCCUAAUCUGACAAAUAGAAUAGUCGCGUUUACUCACCCCUUCGUGGAGACUCGGGCGGCAAUUCAUCAUGUUCAAACUCAAACACGAAAACCAGAACUGCAUCAGAAUAUGGUAGUACCUGGAGUCGAUAAAGCAGAAAGUUGAAGUCAAACAUUAGAUGCAGACAUUUCAGAUUUUUUUGUCACUUUCUCUUUAGAAAAAGUGCUACCUGUUAAAAAUUGGGAAAAGGGAACAUUCAAAAGUUCUGUGGUCUUUUGUCCUGUAUAGCUCUUUGUAUUCUAUUAUUUGGGGCUAAAUGUUUGUGUUGUAUGCAGUGUAACAUGCAGAUGUAUAUUGUAGUUUUUGAAAGUGAUCAUUACUGCGGAAUGCUAAAAAGCAUUAAUUUCUAAAACCUGUGAUGCCCUAAGAAGCAUUAAGAAUGAAGGCAUUGUACUAAUACAAACUGAGUACAGAAUAUUUCAGUCUUAGGUGGUUGUAGCUGAUAAGUUAUUACCUCAUAGAGACUAUAAUGUUAUAUUUGGUAUUAUAUUAUUUUGUUUCUGCCGUUCUUCAAACAUUUAAAUCAAGCUUUGAACUAAUUAUACUAAUUUCUGGGUUCUGAUUACUUUUGAGCUCUGAAGCUUUGAAUCAUUCAGUGUUGGUGAUGGCUUUCUGGUAAGUGAAUAUUACCUUCUGUAGGAAAAGGUAGAAAAUAAUAAUCUAGAAGGUUGUUGUGAAUGACUGUGUGCUGGCAAAAAUGUUUGAAACCUCUAUAUUUCUUCAGUUCAUAAGAGGUAAAGGUCAAAUUUUCCAUCAACAAUCUUUUAAUAACAAAAGCAUGCAGUUCUCUGUGGAAUAUCAAAUAUUGUUGUAAUAGCCUGUUUCAAUCUUAAAUUUAAAAAAAUAAAUAAAA